CACACUGAAUUCCUGAGCCCUGCCUGUGGGCAGCAGGAGAGACCCAGAAACAGAAGGGUCAAAAAGAUGUAAAUACUGAACGGAGUCUGAACGCUGAAUAGAACUACCAGGCUUCCAGGUGGCCACAGCAGUGUCCAGAGGAGAGGCUGAGGCAGUUGGCAGGUAGUAGAGUGUACCUAGGGUGGACUUGCCCUGCACUUCCACAUGUCCCAGGGUCCUCAGUCUGACCCCCAGAGCUCUCAGUCAGAUGUCCCUCCAGUUGUUCUCAAUAACACCCAAGACCCUCUAUCUGCUAUCUACAGUCGCCAGAUCAGUAGCCAAGAGCCUGUGCCAAUUAUCCACUAUCGCGGGGUUGGUAUCCAAGAGCCUGUGCCAAUUAUCCACAGUCGCCGGGUCAGUAUCCAAGAUCCUGUGCCAAUUAUCCACAGUCGCCGGGUCAGUAUCCAAGCAUCUCCUCCAUCUCUCAGUAGUCGCCUUGAAAGUAUUCAAGAGCCUCCUCCAGCUCUCAGCGGCCGCAGGCCCUGAAGCCAGUAUCGAAAGCAUCAAGUCAGCUUUUUGGGACUCCAAGGACAAUGUAAAAGAAUGUGUGCACAGCUCCCAAUUCAACCAAAGCACUCCAGAUGACAUCCACAAUUUCUCACUGGGCAACUCCAUCAGGACCAGCUCUGGCUGGUCUCAGAAGUAUAGCCGCCUAUCACUGCUGUCCAUAAACUGGUGGCUGCUGCACGAGGCCAAGAAGAUCAGCCGCCAGGUGAGCCUAGUGCUGAACCUGAGCAGCUUGGUGCUCAUUGGCCUCAUCUCCCUGGGCCAGCCCUGGAUCCAUUUCCAGGUGCCACUGACAUCCUCGUGGGACCCUGCUGGCUUCCAGACCAUCCCCAUCACCACCAUCUUGUUUGUGCGGUGCCCUGACAUCUCCUGCAUGCAUGAACUUGCUGGACCUUUCCUGGGCCUUCCUCCUCUUCUCCAGCAUCGCCAGCCUCUGCCUCUGUUUUGGCCUAAUAGGCACCAUCUUCUUAACCAACUUUUACCUGCCCAUGCUGGACUUCUUCUUCUUCAUCACCAGCAUCCUAGCAGGCAUGGCACUAAGAUCCCUCCUUCAGGAACCAAGAUGAGGAGUACCACACCCAGGGCCAAUCAUGAAACCCAGUCCCAUCCCCACCUCACUCUAGUCCUAUCCCCAUCCUUGUUUUCAUCCACAACCCCAAUUAUAUCUCCUCCCAAUGCUCCAACCCAUCCCAAUAAAAAAUGCCAACUUCUAACCCAACCACAACUCCAGCCCCAAAAGCAGCCUCAAACUUAACUUCUGUCUCCAUCAACACAUCUCAAAUUUGUCUCCAUCUCCUCCCCAAUGUCCAUCCCCAUCACUGCACCAUCCCAAAUCUAUCUACUUUACAACUUCCAAACUUACCUUCCCCAACCUCUUUAAAGAUCUCAACACCCACCCCAUGCCCAAUCCUCAACAUUUGUUUCCGAUUCAACCCAACCUAUCACCUGUGAACUUCACUCUCAAAUCCAUCCUCUUACCCAUAUGCAGUCCAUUCCCAUCCCAACCACAGAUCCUCCCCAAUAGCAGCCUCAACCUCCAUUUCCAUCCUUAUCACUCAGUCUCAACCUCUUCCCAACACUCAACCCCAUCUCCAGUUUCACCCCCAUCCCAAACCCUGUCCACCACUACCAGUUCUGUGAUACUCUUCAAGUACUUCAUCUCUCCAAGUCAAUUUUUUCAUCAAUAGGAUGGGACUAACACUUCCUACCAAGGACCAGCAUCGUACUGAGUAUCCUGUUCUACCUGCUACAGGCCCAUGAAUACCUGCAGGAAGGCAUGA